UGGCGGCAUGCCUUACACAUGCAAGUCGAACGGCAGCAUGAUCUAGCUUGCUAGAUUGAUGGCGAGUGGCGAACGGGUGGUAAUACAUCGGAACGUGCCCUGUAGUGGGGGAUAACUAGUCGAAAGAUUAGCUAAUACCGCAUACGACCUGAGGGUGAAGUGGGGGACCGCAAGGCCUCAUGCUAUAGGAGCGGCCGAUGUCUGAUUAGCUAGUUGGUGAGGUAAAGGCUCACCAAGGCGACGAUCAGUAGCUGGUCUGAGAGGACGAUCAGCCACACUGGGACUGAGACACGGCCCAGACUCCUACGGGAGGCAGCAGUGGGGAAUUUUGGACAAUGGGGGCAACCCUGAUCCAGCAAUGCCGCGUGUGUGAAGAAGGCCUUCGGGUUGUAAAGCACUUUUGUCCGGAAAGAAAUCGCACUUACUAAUAUUAGGUGUGGAUGACGGUACCGGAAGAAUAAGGACCGGCUAACUACGUGCCAGCAGCCGCGGUAAUACGUAGGGUCCAAGCGUUAAUCGGAAUUACUGGGCGUAAAG
rnacentral:rRNA from 1 species